rnacentral:lncRNA from 1 species
UUUUCGGCUGCCAUCUUUGCUUUAAUUUGGAUGAAAUUAUGAAUUGUGGACGACUAAAUGCAAAUUAUAAAUUAAUGUAUUUAUUAGUCAAAUUAAAAGGGUGCUGAAAUAAAUUCAAAAAAAAAUCCUAUGUAUUUUCCGAUUAUUCUCACUUAAAUUUUUUAAGCAUAUUACUUUUUUGGAACAAAAUUUGCAGCAACUGUUUCUUUAUAAUCAACUCACAAAAAAAAAAGAAAAAAAAACCC